UAUUUUAAUAGCUUAUAAAGAGCAUAAUAUUGAAGAUAUUAAGGAAAUAUUUUAUUUUAAAAUAU
rnacentral:tRNA from 3 species